UUUUUUUUUUUUUUUCUAUCUUGUAAGGAUUUUUGUUUUUUCCAUUAUAGCUGGUUUACAGUGUUCUGUCAAUUUUCUACUGUACAGCAAGUUGACCCAGUUACACAUAUAUGAAUACAUUCUUUUUUCUCACAUUAUCAUACUGCAUCAUAAGUGACUAGAUAUAAAUCCCAGUGCUAUACAGCAAGAUCUCAUUGCUUAUUCAUUCCAAAAGUGAUAGUUUGCCUCCAUUAACCCCAAAUUCCCAAUCCAUCCCACUCCCUCCACCUCUCCCUUGGCAACCACAAGUCUGUUCUCCAUGUCCAUGAUUUUCUUUUCUGUGGAAAGGUUCACUUGUGCUGUAUAUUAGAUUCCAGAUAUGUGAUAUUGUAUGGUAUUUGUCUUUCUCUUUCUGACUUCACUUAGUAUGAGAGUCUCUGGUUCCAUCCAUGUUGCUGCAAAUGGCAGUAUUUUGUUCUUUUUGAUGGCCAAGUAGUAUUCCAUUGUGUAUAUAUACACACCACAUCUUCUUAAUCCAUUCAUCUGUCAAUGGACAUUUAGGUUGUUUCUGUCUUGGCUAUUGUAAACAGUGCUGCAGUGAACCUGUGGGUGCAUGUGUCUUUUUCAAGGGAAGUUUUUCCGGGUAUGUGCCCAAGAGUGGGAUUUCAGGGUCAUAUGGUCGUUCUAUAUAUAGUUUUCUAAGGUACCUCCAUACUGUUUUCCAUAGUGGUUGUACCAAUUUACAUUCCUACCACCAUUGCAGGAGGGUUCCCUUUUCUCCACACCCCCUCCAGCAUUUGUUAUUUGUGGACUUAUUAAUGAUGGACAUUCUGACUGGUGUGAGGUGGUACCUCGUAAUAGUUUUGAUUUGCAUUUCUCUAAUAGUGAUGUUGAGCAUUUUUUCAUGCUUGUUGUCCAUCUCUAUAUCUUCUUUGGGAAAAUGUCUAUUCAGGUCUUUUGCCCAUUUUUCAGUUGGGUUGUUGGCUUUUUUGCUGUUGAGUUGUAUAAGUUGUUGGUAUAUUUUAGAGAUGAAGCCCUUGUCAGUUGCAUCAUUUGAAAUUCUCCCAUUCUGUAAGUUGUCUUUUUUUUUUAAUGAUUUCUUUUGCUGUGCAAAAGUUAUCCAUCCUUUUAUUUUUUACAUUGUGUCAAUUUAUUUAGGUAUUUUAUUUUAAUAUACUUUAUAGUGGGUUUUGCUUUGUGAUUUAAUUUUAAUAUCUUUUUAAAUAUAUUAAUCUAGUCUACUUGUAUUUAUUUAUAUGUAAUAUAUCUUUGCUUUUAGGUUACGCUUUCUGUUUUUACUGCUUAGUUAAUCUUUUUCCAAAACAAUACUUUUAAUUGCAAGUAAGAGGAACUCCAACUGAAGUUGACAUAAUCUCUUAAGGAUAUUUACACAUUUCUGAAGGUCCAAAAAUGGGAGGCUCCAGCCACAUUUCUGUAAGUCAUAAUGUCAUCAGGGCCCAGGGUCUCUUCCUCUUUCCUCCAGCAUAUUAUAAACUUUAUCCCAAAGUGGUUUUCCCUCAAGUUCAUAAGAUGGCAGCCAGUGGUUACAUGUUUGCUUAUUCAUGACCAACACAACAGAAAUUGAAGAAAAUUCUCUCUUGGCCACAUUUCAGUGUGAUUGGGCCAACUUUAUUUGGUCAUCUGUCCACUUCCUGGGUGAAUAACUUUCACUAGGAGAAUUCUGUGAACUUAUUGGUCCUAAGACUGGUGAGGGGUCAUCUUCCCCCCAAAGCCUAGCACAAUUGAUAUUUCAGACCAGGUAAUUCACAGUGGGAGGCUGUUGUGUACAAUGUCGGAUGUUGAGCAAUAUCCCUGUGCCCUAUGGCCUAAGUGUUAAGGUUGUGAGCCAAAAUGAAAGUAACAAUCAAGUCUUUAUUUAUUUGCUGUGAUAAGUGAGAAGCCAAAAAGGAAAGUAGGAAAUUAGUGUUGGCUCUUCACUGUUCCAUCCCCCUCCAGCCACCAUGGAAAGGCACUAGGCAAGGGUCAAUCAAAGGACAGGUAGUAUAGGUUGUGAAAUUUGUCUCCCUGCUGAGAAACCUGAAACAAAAGAUUCCUGCUAUUUUAUGAACCAAUGGGACUUGAUGAAGGGCUAGAAGUGGAAAAAACUGAGAGUAGAAAAAAGUGACUGUAAGGUCCCUUCCAAUAAGGAAAUCUCAGUGGAGAGACCUGAAAUGUGUCUCAGCUAAGGUCUCCUCAGAGGAGGUGUUCUGAGUGGAGGUGCCUGGGUUAGGAAUGCCGAUAUGCAUGUGAGCAUGCAGGCCCAGCCGCUACUGACUAUAACUCCCUUGGAAGAGAGAAGAAGGGCAGCCUUCCCCCAUGAAUCCUGCCAGGCAAAGCCUUUGUAAUUGCCUAUGAAAGGAAAGGUCUGAGAGAUCACACAUAGAGUUUUAGCCUAGAAGCAGUUAUCUUAUCCUGGCUUCUAUCCUAAAUGCCAGUAGCAUCCCCCAAAUUAUGAGACUCAAAAACAUCUGCAGAUAUGAUCAAAUAUCCCCUGGAAGGGCAGAAUCUUCAGUUAACUAGUGCCCUAAAGCCCAUGACUAUGACUAUGAAGAAAGGAUGGAUAUUUGAUCAAAAAUAGGGUUUGAUAAGAGGCAUAAGGAAUAAGUAAUCCGUAUAUGCUGUGUACUGUCAUUAUAUUAUCCAUGUUUGCCUUAGUUUCUUUGGGUCCACUCGUAGUUUUAUUUUCAACUAUAAUUUUGAACUUAAUUUUUUAAGUGCUCGUGACUCCCUGAUUUGAGCAAUACUUCGUUUUCUCUGCUGCACAAUUUUGGUUGAUUUCCUUGGUUUUUACUUUUUUUUUUUUUUUUUGCCAUUCCUUGAGCCGCUCCCGUGGCAUAUGGAGGUUCCCAGGCCAGGGGUCUAAUCAGAGCUGUAGCCGCCAGCCUACACCAGAGCCACAGCAAUGCAGGAUCCGAGCUGUGUCUGCGACCUACACCACAGCUCAUGGCAAUGCCAGAUCCUUAACCCACUGAGCAAGGCCAGGGAUAGAACCCACAAACUCAUGGUUCCUAGUCAGAUUUGUUAACCACUGAGCCAUAACAGGAACUCCCCUUGGUUCUUCCUUAUAAAUAUUUUUAUGCCUUUGUUACACGUUUAUCAAUUUAAAUGUUAUAUUUUGAACCCCUGGUUAAUCAAGAUGAAGAAAUCAUUCUACCUUUGCUUUGCUUUCUCUUAGUUUAGCUUAUCUCUGUAUUUCUUCUGAUGUGGCCUUAUUUCUGGGUUGGCUUUAUUUUUUCUUUUUUUCCCCUAAACUGUAUUAACGCCUAUCACAUUUCCUCUAGUUGUGUUGCCAUGUGGUUUCAGAUCACCUAUAUAUCUGGAUGAACUUUUCACUUCUUCAGAUGCUUUGAAUUUUGACAGCCUGUUUUGUAUGCCCAGUGAAUUCGUGUUUUCAAAUGAAUGGUUUAAUCUGCUUUCGUUUCUCUUGUGCCUUUUCUCCUUUUCUUGGAGUGGGUUUGUAUGAGUGCUGUGCGGGUUCAUUCUCAUUUAUUACUCUUCUUUAAAUGAGGUAAGUUUCUUUCUGGCUCACCUAUUUGGUGUAAAUUCAUAUGGUGUGUAGGGCAGCACUUUGGAUUAACUUUCCUGGGUUACAGUGAAGCUACUUAUGACAGGAUUGUGGGUCUGAGAGAGUUAUUUGAGGCUUUUCUUCUCUCCAGCCAAUAAAGAUUGGCUACUUAACUUUGGAAUCUCUCUCCUCUCCUGUCUCAUUUAUAGACUGCGUCUUGUACGUGGCAUGCCUGUGUUUCCUCCUUUGGCUUUGCCUCUCCUGUUACUUUGUGGUACUAGGAAAUAUCCAGAAAAAUCCCCUCCUGUUGGCACUCAGUCCAUUUCCAUUUUUUCAGUCAAGGAAUUGGCUUUGCUUCUCAGAUUAUGCCGUCUCUUUUGGAGUCUUUUGGUCUAAUGACUUUGAGAUCUGGAGCUGUAAGCAAUCUCUAUAGGUGUAAUCCUGUUUGACCUUUAUUGCGUGUCAAAUCUUUCUCGUAUAUUAUGGUUGAGAUUACAAGUGCCUUCUGAUUUUGUUGAAGACAGUUUAUAUUUCUGUUUUAUAUGGGGCAUAACUUUUUAUUGAGAAAUGGUUCCUGUAUUUUCAAACUGGGGAUCAUUUCUUUUCCUUGAUACUCUCCUUUAACAAGAAGGAAGAGGAGGAGACAGAAGGAGAAAAGGAGAGGCCCCUGUCUUCUCAUCAGAGUUAUACCUUUUUAGUGAAAUUGAUAAUGCCAGUCUGCUUCAGUACAGUGCUGGCAGAGCAGGAUCAAAUGAAGUGAUAAUUUGGUAAACCAUAAAGGAAAGAAAUUUAAAGCAUUGUUUGCAUUCUUUUGUUGUAAUAGAGUUAUAUAUAGUCCAAAUGUCAAAAAGACCUGUUUUCAGUGGUAUUUCAGCAUUUUUUCAGUCAAGGAUAUUCUAGACAGCUCCUAAUACUCUUUUAGAGUUGUUCUUGUUGCCAUGGGAACAGCCUGCCUGGUAACAAUCUGACAGCCCCCACCCCCAUCCCAAAUCAAGGUUAUUCUGGCAUUUUUCCCUUUUUAAAAAUAAAAUCUUUAAAAUAAGACAGUACCAUCCUUUCAGCACAGUUAAAAAAAAAAAAAAAAACCCACUGUAUUUAAUCAGGCCUGCCCCUCCUUCCCAUCCAUCCUAUAUUGUGUGUGUUAUAUGACCCAGGUGAGAUAAUGGGUGCACAACUUAGAUACCUAUUUUCAAGCACUUCCAAGCAUGUAUCUUGAUGCGUAAAGUGGGCUACUUUAUCAUUCUAUGUAAGGUGCUUCGAAGUGCUUGAUAUAUGGAAGGAUGAUUUAUAAAAGAAAAAAAUAUAUAUCCCUUCUGAAAGUGUUUUGCUGCUUUUAAAACCCAUAGAUUUUUCUCAAGCUAGUCAAUGUUGAAUAGAAAGCUCAGUGAUGAAGAUGGAUGGAUGUAAAAAUGAGAAAAGAGAGAAAGGGAGGGCUGAGGCAGAGAAUAAAAGAACACAGACUCUACCAUUAGUCAUAAAGCAUUAUUGGAGUUCCUGUUGUGCAGAGGAAAUGAAGCCAACUAGGAGCCAUGAGGUUGUGGGUUCGAUCUCUGGCCUUGCUCAGUGGGUUAAGGAUCUGACAUUGCCAUGAGCUGUGGUAUAGGUUGAAGACAUGGCUCGGAUCUGGCAUUCCUGUGGCUGUGGCAUAGGCCAGCAACUGUAGCUCUGAUUGGACCCCACAACCUGGAAACCUCCAUAUGCUGCAGGUGCAGCCUAAAAAAGCAAAAAAACCAACCAAACAAACAAAAGCAUCAUUGCUGAUGUGAAGAAAUUGGAAGGUAGGUAAUUAAAGAUUAUUUCUUUCACUACAUUAUAGAUAUGCUAAUAUGGGAGUUCCUAUUGUGCCUCAGCAGAAACAAACCUGACUAGUAUCCAUGGGAAUGUGGGUUCAAUCCCUGGACCCGCUCAGUGGGUUGAGGAUCUGGCAUUGCUGUGAGCUCUGGUGUAGGUCGAAGACGUGGCUUGGAUCUGGCACUGCUGUGGUGUAUGUAGACUGGCAGCUGUAGCUCUGAUUGGACUCCCAGCCUGGGAAUUUCCAUAUGGUGCACCUGCGGCCCUUAAAAAAAAAAAAAAAAGAAAAA
ensembl:lncRNA